rnacentral:lncRNA from 1 species
CAGAGAGAGAGCCAGAGGUCGUGUCUUCAGCUGGGAGAGGAGUUGGUGGCCAGUCAGCAGGAGAGUGAACGGCUCCAGGAGGAGCUCCAGCAGGUCAUCACACAGCUGGACACUUACAUCAGGAAGUACAAUGAGAAACAGUCGCAGCACAAGACCAAGCUGAGGAAGGCCAAGCAGAUCUUCCUGAUGGCCACGGCCCAGAGAGACCGCACCAUCCAGAAACUGGAGAACGACCUUGCCCUGGCCUCCAGCCUCUCCCACAAGGAGAAAGACUGGAUCAGGACAGUUAUGGAGGAGAAUGAAAAAUUGCUGGUAGAGAAGAGAGAACUUCUGAGGAGGAUGAGCGAGGCAGAGGAGAUGGGGAGCAACGGCCUGAGAAAGGCCUCCAAUGUUCAGCACAGGGUCAACUUUCUGGAGGUGGAGAACAGACAACUUCAGGAAAGAACUUUAAAGUUGGCCAAUCAAGUCGGAACGCUAGAGCGGGCUCUGAGGAACGUUCAAUCACAAUCGCUCUGCAACCUAGAGGAUAUCAAGAAAAUGUUUCCUUCUGAAAGUCUUGCGAACGACAGCAUCCUUCAUAAGUCAACAUUAAGUCUGACAUCAGGUGCAUGUGACCCUCUGGGCAUCCUCAAUGCCAUCUGCCGGGUGAAGGUGGGCGAGCGCGUGGAGGGCAUCCAGACGUCGUCCUCCACGCCCCAUUCCCAGUUGCAGUCCUUUGAACUGGGCUACCUGAACCUCACCUCCCCUGUAGCUCCCCCAGACACCAAAGACCCAGAGGAGAGUGACCAGUGA